UGCCUGCUGAAAAACAAAUUUCAGGUAAUUCCUGCCCAAUGAAAAUUUUAAAUGGCCGCGGUAAACCGUGCAAAGGUAGCAUAAUCAUUUGCCUCUUAAUUAGGGGCUGGCAUGAACGGAUUAAACGAGAAAAAAGCUGUCUCAAAGAGAACACUAAAACCUAUCCUUUAGGUGAAAAGACCUAAAUAAAUAUAGAAGACAAGAAGACCCUAUCGCGCUUUAUUUAUACUUUCCCCAUCAAGAGAAAGAAAAAUUUGGUUGGGGCGACCCAUGACACUCAAAAACGUCUAUUACCCACAAGACCCGCAAGUCCACUUAAUGACCCUAUUAAGAUUAAAGAACAAGUCACCGUA
rnacentral:rRNA from 1 species